rnacentral:rRNA from 1 species
GGCGAACGGGUGAGUAAUACAUCGGAACAUGUCCUGUAGUGGGGGAUAGCCCGGCGAAAGCCGGAUUAAUACCGCAUACGAUCUGAGGAUGAAAGCGGGGGACCUUCGGGCCUCGCGCUAUAGGGUUGGCCGAUGGCUGAUUAGCUAGUUGGUGGGGUAAAGGCCUACCAAGGCGACGAUCAGUAGCUGGUCUGAGAGGACGACCAGCCACACUGGGACUGAGACACGGCCCAGACUCCUACGGGAGGCAGCAGUGGGGAAUUUUGGACAAUGGGCGCAAGCCUGAUCCAGCAAUGCCGCGUGUGUGAAGAAGGCCUUCGGGUUGUAAAGCACUUUUGUCCGGAAAGAAAUCAUUCUGGCUAAUACCCGGAGUGGAUGACGGUACCGGAAGAAUAAGCACCGGCUAACUACGG